GGGGGCGAAACGGUUUCGACGAGGUCGCAGUAGGCCGAGGUAGCAUGCCGAGGGCGCCUGAUACCCUCGAUAAACUCCGGGCAAACCAAAACAAAUGCCAACGACAACCGUGCAUUCGCGGUGGCUGCCUAACAAAACAGCCUCGCCGUCCGACAGGAUUAUCCGCCAGGGGUGUCUGUUGGGCGUGUCUUGACCUGGCUAGACCUGAACGCUGCGUGACGUGAGCGGAGGGGUCAAUAAACAAUCCCGAUCAAAUCGUCACCGACUCCGACGCAGGCUGAGCCCGCUGGGUCUGCGGGAGUUCGAUACAGCGGGAUAAGCAUGUAGAAGCCAACGCUGAGUGGUUUCGGACGCGGGUUCGACUCCCGCCGCCUCCACCA
rnacentral:tmRNA from 1 species